rnacentral:rRNA from 1 species
AUGAGAUUUCCGGAGUAUAAGGUCCUAAAUGGAGAUCCUUGUCAUUCUAAUCAUAGGCCGAUUACUGUAUUUGUGGAAAAAUCAAACAAUGCAACAACAAGGGCAAAUAAUGCACAUGGUUUCAGAUUUGAAGCCAAGUGGCUACAGGAGGAAGAAUGUGAGAAAAUUGUAAAUGAUGCUUGGACAUCAGCUUCACUUGGAGGAGGCCGAAGCAUCUCACAACUAUUAAAAGCAAUGGCUCAUGACCUCCAAGAUUGGGACUCUAAUGUCUUGGGUGACCUUCCGAAAAGAAUAAAUGAACUAAAGAAGGAUCUGGAAAAGGUGAGAAGACAAGAAAUCAAUCAACAAUCCAUAGCUAGAGAGCACUUCCUGAGAGAUAAGCUAGACAUGUUGGAACACCAAUGGGAUACUUUUUGGCGCCAACGGGCUCAUGUCAAGUGGCUUCAGUCAGGGGAUAAAAAUACAUCUUUUUCCACGCAUUUGCAUCAGAAAGGAAAAAAACAACACGCUGAAGAGACUGAAGGCAGAGGAUGGCCGCGGGAUUGA